GAGCUCAGUAGGUUAGAGCGUGGUGCUGAUAACGCCACCGUUUCAGGUUCGAUCCCCGUAUGGGACA